UUGCACAUUCAAGUCCCGUUAUGUCUUGAAUGAUCGACUGUUAGGGGAAAAUUAAAUCUCUUAAAAACCUGAAGUAUUGGUUUUAAAAUUCCUUGCUUCGGAACCUGUUGGGAGAAACAACU